ACAUUCUAAGAAGCCGAGGAAACUUUGCCCACAAUGCUGCUGUUUUGAAACAAUGACAUCGAGAUUGACCCUGAAGAAACAGUUGAUUCCUCACAAGAUAAGGACGUGUCAAGUGAUGAGGAUGAGACUGUUCAACCUACAACUGAGGCCACAGGAAAAGACAGGCAUGACGACACGGAUGAAGACGACCAUGAGACAUCAGAGAACGUAUCUUCACCUCUGGCUGUUUCCAGUUCCAUUUCUCCCAGAGCUCCACUCAAUCAAGACAAAAGAGGUAAUUCUAAGCGCAUGUGGUAAGCGAGUGAGAUCCGUGCAGUGGACCGACACAUGAUGCGGUUCAUCAACACCUGUAAGGUACCUCGAAAGAUGGACUGCAUACUCUGCAUCAAGGCGGAACCCAAUGCCCUCAAAAAGCGAGACUGGAUUGGACUCAAAAAUUACAUCAGGAAUCGAAUAACUUCCUUGAAGAGGAAGGCUUGUGCUCAGCACUGGAGGCUCUAGAGGGGGGAGGAGGGGGAGGUAAUAUGUUGUUAUUGUG
ensembl:lncRNA